UCAGGGUACGAAGAUACCUACACAUACAGAAUCCUCUACAUAAGGGGGAGUUCAAGGUCUGGAAAAAACAAUUCUAGAACAUCAGUUGGAUACAACCAACAAAGACCUUGAAGGCACCCAUCUUAAAGGAGAUCCAGACACUGGUGACAUCAGAAAGAAGGUCCUUCAAAUGGAGGAAACCAUUCGCGUUCUCAAAGGAUUGGAACACAUGGCAGUGUUUCAUAUGCAG
rnacentral:lncRNA from 1 species